UACGUAGGGUGCAAGCGUUGUCCGGAAUUAUUGGGCGUAAAGAGCUCGUAGGCGGUCUGUCGCGUCGGCUGUGAAAACCUGGGGCUUAACUCCGGGCCUGCAGCCGAUACGGGCAGACUAGAGUUCGGCAGGGGAGACUGGAAUUCCCGGUGUAGCGGUGAAAUGCGCAGAUAUCGGGAGGAACACCCGUAGCGAAGGCGGCACUCUGGGCCGGUACUGACGCUGAGGAGCGAAAGCGUGGGGAGCAAACAGG
rnacentral:rRNA from 1 species